UACGUAGGCAGCGAGCGUUGUUCGGAAUUACUGGGCGUAAAGAGUGUGUAGGCGGUGCUCUAAGUUCGGUGUGAAAUCUCCCGGCUUAACUGGGAGGGUGCGCCGGAAACUGGAGUGCUUGAGUGUGGGAGAGGUGAGUGGAGUUCCCGGUGUAGCGGUGAAAUGCGUAGAUAUCGGGAGGAACACCUGUGGCGAAAGCGGCUCACUGGACCACAACUGACGCUGAGGCGCGAAAGCUAGGGGAGCAAACAGG
rnacentral:rRNA from 1 species